UGUCCUUUCUAAUAUACAAUAAACAUGCCAUUUCUAGUAUACAAUAAUUUAUACAGUAAGUUUAAUAUAACCAAUUUUCCAAUUUUAACAAUCAUGAUCUAUCCUCAUGUAUAUGAAAACCUAAGAUAAAUCUUUUUUUUUAAAUUAAGGAAAUUUUUAGAAAAUCAUUACUUUAACCAACUUCAAUCUCUACCACUGCAUUUGGAACAAAUAAUAUUUAGUCAGAUGGAAUGCCUCUCAAAUAUUUAAAAGAAUAUGUAAGCUGUUUAUUGCAUCAGUAAUUUUCAAAGAAAAUGAAUGUAAAGUAAACAGAGCAACAGAGGCCUGUGAAAAAACUAGAAAGAAAACAGCCACAUGGCAAGAGAAGAAGGAAUGGAAGAAGGCUCUGGGAGGUGUUGAAUUUGUUUGAGUUCUUUCUCCUAGAAGACAGAAGCAGGUGCAAUAGAACACAAAUAUAAAAAGGGAAGCCAAGGUUCCUGCCUGGGUCAUAAAAAAUACUGGAUACAAAAGAUUUUAGAAGAAGAAGGAGAAAACAAAUUCAGGGGCAAGACACCAGAACCAUUGGAAAGACCGAUGGAGAGUUACGUGAAGAGCUUCCAGAAAAUAAGGCAUAUACAAGUGCUAGUAUUCCAGUCUUACACACAGAUGCAUAGAUAAAUAAAUAACAUCACACAUUUGCUAAUAAAUAGCACAGAUGACUUUUUAGAUGUAUCUCUAGAUGUAACGAUUCUUAGAAGCUUCAUACCCAAAUUUCCAGAUAUCUUCAACAGUCUAAAGUAGAACUCUUUACCAGCUCCAUCAAGACAAUUCUUUAUCUAGCUCUAUCUCAAUUGAUAUCUUUACAUCUCCCCAAGCAACGUGAGCUCAAGACUUUUAAUUCCUUUUUGUUAAGCGUUCUAUAUUGACACUUAAUUCUGCAAGUGCUCUUCCUCAGUGUCUCAUACGUAAUUCUAUUUAUUUGCUGCUACUGGUAUAACAAUUACAUUAUUGUAAUUGUUUCCUAACUGGUCUCCCAAACUCCAGUUAUUCAACUUUUCUCUUUUCUCUAAAGUAAAACCACCCACCUCUCACCACAAAAUAAUUCAACUCAUUAUAUGCCCAGUGCAGUAGUCCAAUGAUACUUAAUGCCUGGAGGCGGAGAACCAAAUUUCUUAACCUUAUUUUUAAAACCCUAUACCUUUCAUAUUUGCCAUUUCAUCUCCCCUACUUUUCCCUUCAUAACAAUGUGUUUCAUGCUUGUAGUAUAGUGCUGUCUUAGCUUGUCUCAUAUUAAAGCUAUCCAUAAUUGCUUCAAUUGGUCAUGUGAGACUGGAAAUGCAGAGAGAGCCAGGACAAUGCUUUCCUUGCCUUUGCUUAAUUCAAAAUGCUUUUCAGGAUGUUUUAUAUACAGUAGAAUAUAGCAGUGACUGCCACUUGUAUAUCCAUAUCAAUUCUCCCUUAUCAAAGCUCACCAGUCAAAGUCUAUACAGAACUCAAAUGUGGUCAAACAAGGAAGAGCAGGGUCUCUUAGUAACAGGAAGUUGGAAGAGGCUUAUUAUAGGAUUUAGACUUGUGCUGUGUGGCUAUAGAGGCUAGAGAAAGGAAGGCUAGCUUUGAAUUGAAUAAUGUCCAGAAGUAAGAGCAAUUCAGUAACAUAGUUGCCAGGUAUCAUAAUCUUUGUUCAGGACACUGGAGGAACAAAAUCAUGCUAGGGAUAUAUCAUUGGUAAUAAAACAGCAACAUACUCAAAAGUCAAUUUUUGCAGCUACAAUAUGGCCUUGUUAAAAACAUGGUUUAUUAUAAUCUAACCAUUAACAGCUAAUUUUUCAUUUUCUCUCUUUUCUUUCUUUUAGUGAUAGAACCACCUAAAUUUAAUAGGGUAUGUGGCUGUCCAGACUAUGCUAUUAAACCCUUCAUGUUGCUAAUUUUGUGUAUGUAGCUAAAUUCUAGUCAAUGGGAUGAAACCUGAUUUCAUGCUUGUGACUUCCAUAGUACAUUUUUUUUUAAAAAAAGAAACAGCUUUCUCUCAUUCAUCCUUUACUUCAUUCUAUGAACCAAACACAUAUGUAUUUCUGUAGGUCAGCUUUGACUAUGUAUUUCCUUGGAGAUAGUGGAGUAAAAAGUUAGAAGGCUCAUAAGAUUCCAUGACAACUUUGUGGAACAUAGCUACCUGUCUACCCUAGAUCGUUCACCUUCUUCUGAAUAGUAAAUGAAAAAGAAAUAAUCUAUCUUCCUUUACCCAGUGAACAUUUGAAUCUUUUCAUUAGAGUAGCUUGUUUCAUACUCAUUUAAUAACAUAUGACAAGAUAUUGGCCAUUGAAUUAUGAAUUAUAAUAAUAAAAUGUUAAGUACCUCUACUAUGGAUCUAGAAGUUCUUAGUUGGAUUAUGUGCAUUAUCUAUUACCUUCUUUGGCCUUCCAUUAUGUAACUUGCCAAGUAUUUUUAUGAAUCAGGAAACUAUUUGCAUAGAUACACUGAAUAAACAUGUAAGACU
rnacentral:lncRNA from 1 species